rnacentral:rRNA from 1 species
UACGAAGGGGGCUAGCGUUGCUCGGAAUCACUGGGCGUAAAGGGUGCGUAGGCGGGUCUUUAAGUCAGGGGUGAAAUCCUGGAGCUCAACUCCAGAACUGCCUUUGAUACUGAAGAUCUUGAGUUCGGGAGAGGUGAGUGGAACUGCGAGUGUAGAGGUGAAAUUCGUAGAUAUUGGGAAGAACACCGGUGGCGAAGGCGGCUCACUGGCUCGUAACUGACGCUCAUGCACGACAGCGUGGGGAGCGAACAGG